GAUGAACGCUGGCGGCGUGCCUAAUACAUGCAAGUCGAACGCAUAGCGAAAGGUGCUUGCACCUUUCAAGUGAGUGGCGAACGGGUGAGUAACACGUGGACAACCUGCCUCAAGGCUGGGGAUAACAUUUGGAAACAGAUGCUAAUACCGAAUAAAACUUAGUGUCGCAUGACACAAAGUUAAAAGGCGCUUCGGCGUCACCUAGAGAUGGAUCCGCGGUGCAUUAGUUAGUUGGUGGGGUAAAGGCCUACCAAGACAAUGAUGCAUAGCCGAGUUGAGAGACUGAUCGGCCACAUUGGGACUGAGACACGGCCCAAACUCCUACGGGAGGCUGCAGUAGGGAAUCUUCCACAAUGGGCGAAAGCCUGAUGGAGCAACGCCGCGUGUGUGAUGAAGGCCUUCGGGUCGUAAAGCACUGUUGUAUGGGAAGAACAGCUAGAAUAGGAAAUGAUUUUAGUUUGACGGUACCAUACCAGAAAGGGACGGCUAAAUACGUG
rnacentral:rRNA from 1 species